UAGAGCUGAAACUUGACACUGAUACUCCUAUAUAGUUGCUCUAUGAUAGUGAUAGUACCACAGGAGGCUGCUGAGGGGAGGACGGCUCAAACACAUGGAAGGAAAAGUGAUACCUAGUCAGUUGGGCAACUGAAUGCAUUCAACCAAAAUGUGUCUUCCACAUUUAACGGAUGGGUCGGAUGGGUCCACAGUGUCUCCUGACCCCUCCUGUCUCAGCCUCCAGUAUUUAUGCUGCAGUAGUUUAUGUGUCGGGGGGCUAGGGUCAGUUUGUUAUAUCUGGAGUACUUCUCCUGUCCUAUUCGGUGUCCUGUGUGAAUCUAAGUGUGCGUUCUCUAAUUCUCUCCUUCUCUCUCUCGGAGGACCUGAGCCCUAGGACCAUGCCCCAGGAUUAUCUGACAUGAUGACUCCUUGCUGUCCCCAGUCCACCUGGCCGUGCUGCUGCUCCAGUUUCAACUGUUCUGCCUUCUUAUUAUUAGAACAUGCUGAUCAUUUGUGAACAUUUGAACAUCUUGGCCAUGUUCUGUUAUAAUCUCCACCCGGCACAGCCAGAAGAGGACUGGCCACCCCACAUAUGCUCUCUCUAAUUCUCUCUUUUUUUCUCUCUCUCGGAGGACCUGAGCCCUAGGACCAUGCCCCAGGACUACCUGACAUGAUGACUCCUUGCUGUCCCCAGUCCAUCUGACCGUGCUGCUGCUCCAGUUUCAACUGUUCUGCCUUCUUAUUAUACGACCAUGCUGGACCUGAGCCCUAGGACCAUGCCCCAGGACUACCUGACAUGAUGACUCCUUGCUGUCCCCAGUCCACCUGGCCGUGCUGCUGCUCCAGUUUCAACUGACCUGAGCCCUUGGACCAUGCCCCAGGACUACCUGACAUGAUGACUCCUUGCUGUCUCCAGUCCACCUGACUGUGCUGCUGCUCCAGUUUCAACUGUUCUGCCUUAAUACUAUACGACCAUGCUGGUCAUUUAUGAACAUUUGAACAUCUUGGCCAUGUUCUGUUAUAAUCUCCACCCGGCACAGCCAGAAGAGGACUGGCCACCCCACAUAGCCUGGUUCCUCUCUAGGUUUCUUCCUAGGUUUUGGCCUUUCUAGGGAGUUUUUCCUAGCCACCGUGCUUCUACACCUGCAUUGCUUGCUGUUUGGGGUUUUAGGCUGGGUUUCUGUACAGCACUUUGAGAUAUCAGCUGAUGUAUGAAGGGCUAUAUAAAUAAAUUUGAUUUGAUUUGAUUUAAUCUACUCACUAUCAUGAUAAUGUCAUUCAAGAGGUCAUUUCAACGCUGCAUGAAAAUCCUGCCACUUUUUCCUGACACAAUUUCGCUUUAAUCUACUUAUAGAGGAUGGAUUAGAUUUAAAACAUGAAGAUUAAGAUCAUAUACAGUAUUGUAGGCAUGAUAUUUUUCAUAUAAUCUCAACGUAACUUCUAGCAUAUUUGUAAAUCAAUAAAUAGGAUGUUUUGGUACUCCUAAACUUAGUGUCGAACACCAUUCCAAUAGGCAUCAUUUUAAUAAGUAAUUAUGUAGAUUUAUGCAUAACAUUAGCAUGAUGAAUUGGGUGGUAAAUGAAGUGGCUACCCUCAAAUGAUUAAGCUGAUGAAUAAUUACGAGGAAUGUUUUGCUCUUGAUGAGACUUGUAUCCCUGGUAAAAAAAACGCUCUAAUUACCUGAAAACAUCUGGGGGUUUUAGUAACCUUCAUUAAUCUAACGCAAUCGUACGAUUUAUCUCUCUCUGUUUUCCGGCGUUAUAGACAAUGAGCCCAAUGACAGUGCAUAUAUGGUUGAGACAACACACUUUUGGCUUCAUCUCAUUUCUAUAGCGAUAUAUGUCUUAAACAAAUGCUUUCAGUCUGUAUCUUAUCUAGCUAAUCCUUCACUUCCAGGGUGUUAAUUACAUAUUAAUAAAUCCAGAUUACAACUGAAUUAACAUGUAAUAAAUAUAUGAAUUAUGUAGCUGUCACAUUCCAUAACACUGUACAGUCUAUGAAAUAUUGCACCAAAUCCCUGUGUAACCAAAUCAACAUUCUGAGAGCAUUCAGCCAUACAGCGCUCCGUACUCCUUUCAGAGACAAUAAUACAUGUCAUAUAUUUUCCCCCU
ensembl:lncRNA